CAGCCCUCUGGGAGGGCAAGUGGAAGAGUGAGUAGAUCAGCUGGAUAGGAGUGAGGAGUUGGAGGAAGGGUUGGGGUAUGGCCAGUGCAGUUAAGUGACUUGCCUUAGUGCACACCCCCAGAAAGUGACAGCACCAGCAUUUGAACCCUGACACAAGCAUCUCCAAAACUGCAUUCUUCCCACUGUGCCACAGUUAAGAUGAGUCCACCAGCCCUGUUUAGGAAGGGGCCUCAGAAGAGGGGAUGAAGUGGCCAUUCUGAGCAGCACCAUCUACGUCAGCAGAAACUGGAAGGCCGAGACCCAUGGAGAAGCUGGGAGGAGUUGCCAGAGAGAGG
rnacentral:lncRNA from 1 species